AUUGAACGCUGGCGGCAGGCCUAACACAUGCAAGUCGAACGAGUGGCGGACGGGAGAGUAAUGUUUGGGAAUCUGCCUGAUGGAGGGGGAUAACUACUGGAAACGGUAGCUAAUACCGCAUACUAUCAGAUGUGCCCAGAUGGGAUUAGCUUGUUGGUGGGGUAACGGCUAACCGAGGCGACGAUCCCUAGCUGGUCUGAGAGGAUGACCAGCCACACUGGACCUGAGACACGGUCCAGACUCCUACGGGAGGAGGCAGUGGGGAAUAUUGCACAAUGGGCGCAAGCCUGAUGCAGCCAUGCCGCGUGUAUGAAGAAGGCCUUCGGGUUGUAAAGUACUUUCAGCGGGGAGGCGUUACCCGCAGAAGAAGCACCGGCUAACUCCGUGCCAGCAGCCGCGGUAAUAC
rnacentral:rRNA from 1 species